AGAGUUUGAUCCUGGCUCAGGAUGAACGCUGGCGGCGUGCCUAACACAUGCAAGUCGAACGAAGCACCUUACUUGAUUCUUCGGAUGAAGGUCUGGUGACUGAGUGGCGGACGGGUGAGUAACGCGUGGGUAACCUGCCCUGUACAGGGGGAUAACAGCUGGAAGCGGCUGCUAAUACCGCAUAAGCGCACGAGGAGACAUCUCCUUGUGUGAAAAACUCCGGUGGUACAGGAUGGGCCCGCGUCUGAUUAGCUGGUUGGCAGGGUAACGGCCUACCAAGGCAACGAUCAGUAGCCGGUCUGAGAGGAUGAACGGCCACAUUGGAACUGAGACACGGUCCAAACUCCUACGGGAGGCAGCAGUGGGGAAUAUUGCACAAUGGGGGAAACCCUGAUGCAGCAACGCCGCGUGAGUGAAGAAGUAUUUCGGUAUGUAAAGCUCUAUCAGCAGGGAAGAUAAUGACGGUACCUGACUAAGAAGCUCCGGCUAAAUACGUGCCAGCAGCCGCGGUAAUACGUAUGGAGCAAGCGUUAUCCGGAUUUACUGGGUGUAAAGGGUGCGUAGGUGGCAGUGCAAGUCAGAUGUGAAAGGCCGGGACUCAACCCCGGAGCUGCAUUUGAAACUGCUCGGCUAGAGUACAGGAGAGGCAGGCGGAAUUCCUAGUGUAGCGGUGAAAUGCGUAGAUAUUAGGAGGAACACCAGUGGCGAAGGCGGCCUGCUGGACUGUUACUGACACUGAGGCACGAAAGCGUGGGGAGCAAACAGGAUUAGAUACCCUGGUAGUCCACGCCGUAAACGAUGAA
rnacentral:rRNA from 1 species